UACGGGGGGGGCAAGCGUUGUUCGGAAUUACUGGGCGUAAAGGGCGCGUAGGCGGUUUGCUAAGUUGGAUGUGAAAACUCUGGGCUUAACCCAGAGCCUGCAUUCAAUACUGGCAGGCUAGAGUUCUGGAGGGGAUAGCGGAAUUCCUGGUGUAGCGGUGAAAUGCGUAGAUAUCGUAAGGAAGACCAGUGGCGAAGGCGGGUCUCUGGACAGUUCCUGACGCUGAGGCACGAAGGCCAGGGGAGCAAACGGG
rnacentral:rRNA from 1 species